AACCAUAGAAACCUGCGGAGUACCUGCGGAGGGAUCAUUACAGAGUUCAUGCCCUCACGGGUAGAUCUCCCACCCUUGAAUACUAUACCUUUGUUGCUUUGGCGGGCCGCUUUGGCUACUGGCUCUGGCUAGUAAGUGCCCGCCAAAGAACCCCAAAACUCUGAAUAUUAGUGUCGUCUGAGUACUAUAUAAUAGUUAAAACUUUUAGCAAUGGAUCU
rnacentral:misc_RNA from 1 species